GCACCCCGGAGCCUGGCAUCACUAAUCUUUCCUCUAUUUCUAAAAUUGUUUUAUUUCAGAAAUGUUAUGUUUAGAUACAGGAAUCAUACAGCGCCUAAUUUUUUGAAAUUGGCUUUCUUCACUCGUCAGUCUAAUUCCCUGCAGGUUCACGUCUUGCUUUUUUACACGAGUUUCCUCUUAGAAAGUAACUUUUUUAAAAAAAAUUACCCAACAGCAAAUCUAAAGUCCAUUUCAAAUGCAAGAGUCCCCUCAUCCUUUCCUAAAUAACAGCCUCUUUUUACAGGUAGAACAGAUGGUUUGAAAAGGAAAGAUUUUUUUUUCACAUAUGGGUAAAAAAAAUUCCCAGCCUUGGAAGGAUAUUUGGGUUAGAGGCCGAAGUGCAUCACAGAUCACGCACGCGUCCACACCUCAGAAAACGCUCACUCAUUCCUGAGACGCAACGCUCAGUACCUGGUGCCUGGGACUGAAGACCAGAGCCCCCUGGAGACGAAAAUAGCCAGCUCCCAGCUGUGAGCAGAUCGGGUCCAAAGAUCACGGGCUCGGCGGCAGGAACCUGGUUUGGUAUCCGGCUCCUCUGCGGACUUUGAAGUGCUUUACCGAUUCACAUGACAACUGGUAAAACGAAAACAAACACCUUUACAGGAAUUGUGAAUUCGAGUUCCAGACCCUCUGGGAUUCCGGGAGCGCCGUUGCUAUUUAUGUUAACAGUCAUUGGUCCCAGCCUGCAACCUCCAAAAACCCAACUUUGCAAAGAUAUGGCAUCGUCAGAAGAAAUGGGGUGCAAUCUAAUGUUGACAGUGUGGAUGAGAGUGGGACACCUGCCAGUUGUUUGCAUCAGCAGACACUCAGAGUCCACGGAAAAAAUGAGCCCAGAGGUUUUUAAACCACAACACAAGCAAAAGGCACCUGGUCCCGUUCCUCUUAAGACAGAAGAAAGAGGCGUAAAACCAGCUCCAGGUGCCACCCUUAAGAAAUGUUACAGUGCCGGAUGGGAAGAGUAAACCCUGAACAUCUCUUCUUAAUACUUUACAGACUUCAAGUGUAUUUUAUGGUGACAAAGCAUAUUGAAGACAAAUGAAACUCUACAACCCUGAAAACCAGCCUGAAUUAUUUUGAGAGACAGACAGUGGCUGCGAGGAGAAGCGUCGGGAUUUUCUGGGCUGGCCAUCUCCAGUGUCACUGACCCCGGUCUACCCCUGCAUGUUUGUUUACGGGAAAGGAGUUGAGGAGGAGGUUGUAUGCCUGAGAGCCUGAAAACAAUCCAGGGCAGGCGGAGCGAGGAGAGGACUUUACUCCUCACACUCACAUAGGCAUCCUGAAAAGCCACUUUUCUUUCCAAGGUGGGCACGGGCCUUGAGCUUGGAGUGGAGCCAGUUAAAGUUGUCCGCUCUGGGUCAUCAGAUGGAGAUCUGAUCUUGGGUCAUGAAUUGUGGUUUUAGGAGAAAGGCAGAGGCUAAACCCAUCUUCUGUCUGGUGGGGAUGCCCAGCAAAGGGCUCAGAAACACAGCCACGGGCCUCUUGCAGCAGCUGGAUGCACAUUUCAGGAGGUUGCCUGAAAGCAGAAUUGACUUCAGAGAUUAGGGCAGCAGAGCCCAGCCACAGAGUGGUCCCAGGAGCCAGGAAGUGCCACACAACCCCUCGCUUAUUUUUACUCAGUAUGCCACGGAAGGCCUGACCUGUUAAAAGUGCCCUUUAAGAAUGGCUGGCCCGCCCUCUCUCAGAGGGUUCAUGCUGGGGAGAGGGUACCUGCACGCCCGCUAAGUUCCAAAUGACAACCCAGGUGUAGAAAGGGCUUAGACUUUAGGGUUCAAACCCAUCCUAGAGUCCGGUCCAAGGCCAGUUACAGCCAAUGGGCAGUGGUAGGUGCAGCCCAGCCCAUUAGCUCAUUUUUGAGCCUCAGAGGGACAGAGCAGCACUAAUGGGUGCACAAAUGGCUAGAAUGUUCACCAACUCCUCGAGGGUGGCAUUGGACAUUUGGGCAAGGGUCUUAUGGAGGCUGAGAGUUGACUGUGGGCUCAUCACAGCUAUUUUGAGGGUCUUGACAGCCCAACUAGCAAACAAUUCUGCAGGGAUGUGCAGGGAUGAGAGGUCAGGGCAAAGGGAAAUGGCAUUGUCAAGUGGACGGCCAAAAAGUCCAGGAUGCCCCCAGGUCCCAGGGAACGGCGGGGGAGGAACUCAGGGACUGGAUUACCCACAGGACCUGGUGAGACCCACAGCCACGGGCUGACUUGUGUCCACUCAGAAGCGUAUGUUAAAAUCCUAACCCCCAGUACUUUGGAAUGUGACCUUAUUUGGACAUAGGGACUUUGAAGAUGAUCAAGUUAAGAUGAAGUCAUGGGGCCGGGAGCGGUGGCUCAUGCCUGUAAUCGCAGCACUUCGGGAGGCCGAGGCGGGCAGAUCACGAGGUGAGGAGAUCGAGACCAUACUGGCUAACACGGUGAAACCCCUUCUCUACUAAAAAUACAAAAAAAAAAAAAAAUUAGCCGGGCAUGGUGGCAGGCACCUGUAGUCCCAGCUACUCAGGAGGCUGAGGCAGGAGAAUGGCAUGAACCCUG